rnacentral:lncRNA from 1 species
CACAAACCAUUAGUGACACCUAGCAGCAUGUCAUGGUUACCCAAGCUAAGUAGAAUUGGUUGGAGAACCUAUCUAGUUACAACUACAAUGCAAUAGGGUCCUUCUCUAAUACAAUACUCUUUAUCACAUUGUUUAAGUGAUAGUUUGUUUCAUGUCUACUAUCCAAUGUGAUACUUCUCCAUAUGAUUCUAUUGAAUAAGAUUUGGAACAAACUUCCUAAGUCAUAUUCAUAUGCUUUGGCCAAAGACUCUCGAAUCAUAUCUUAGAGUAUUCUCCUUCCACCAUGGAAGGUUAGAGAUCCCUUGUUGUGCAUUCAUAUGCCUACAUGACUAGAUAGCUUGACCCCAACAAUGCCGUGGACACUCCAAUGGAAUGCCUUUGACAUGAUCAAAGGUCAAGGACCUAACCAUUAGACAUCUAUGAUGCCUCAGGUCAAAGGACUACUUUGCAUAUUGCAACUAUCGAGUUCUUACAUGACAUGUAUGUUCGAACGCUCUUUUGAUCGUAGUUCAGUGUACUCGAUUACUCUUUCGAGCACUUAUGUGUUUGUCUUAGUGUCCAACACCAAAUGACUUGAGACUAGUCAUACUCACGCUUGAGUCGACAUAACACAUACUAACCUUAGUGGAUUGUCAAUGCCCAAUUGGCAAUCCUAUGGCUAGGAACGUUUUAGGAAUGAACAUAAGAGAAAGGUCUUGUUAAUCUAACUUACUUAAAUCACUUGUCUCUUAGAUCAAAUACAUUCCUUGGAUUCCCUUAUUGCUUAAACACAUGAUACAAUAAAUAGUGAUUAACAAUAAGCUUUGCCCUUCAUUAAACAUAUAAAAGUUUAAUACAAUAAGUAUUCCAAAAGCUAUUACAUCAAAUGAUUGGCUUUGUGGGCAUACUUCCAACAUUGAGUUUAGCGCCCUUUCUCAUAGCUCAAUUAUCGUUUAAGGCAUAAGUCCAUAGUCAACCAUUUUCUAACUACUUAAUCACAUUAAAUAAUUAAUUGGAAUGCAACAUAAAUAAUUAGAUUUAGUGCAUAUGGGCAUAAUUGUAUGAUGAGUUUAAACAACUAACAAAAUUAAAAUCAAAAUAUUUUAACUUUUUAGAGAGAUGGGGGUCUAAAUGCAAAUAUAAAAAGUUAUGGGUCAAACCAUAAAUACUAGAAAGUAUAAUCAACCUUGUUAAAUUACAAAAUAGCCCCACAAGUGGCCAAUCCACUAGGGUGGCUGGCCAAGUUAAGGGGGGAUGGGAGGUUUCAAACAUUUUGCUUUAAUUCAAAUUAAAGUAGAAAACCCCAUGCUUUUCUUGCCACUUGACAUGCUUUAUGUACUUUAGUGUAAAGGUGAUGGAAAUUCUCCUAGUCAAGUCUAGGAUUGAUUAAAUUUUGGGAAAGCUAUGGAUGGUAAGUUUAUCAUCCAAAAACAUAAAACAAUUUAUGAACACAAAACAAAACCAUUUACACCAAAAACAAAACCAUGAACACCAAGAACAAAACCAUGAAAACAAUUUCAAGAUUUGUACUUUCUUGGUGAUUUUUCAAACCCAAAAACAAAAGUGACAAGGUCCAGAUUUUCUAGCUUAAAAAAAUGUGUGAGUGACUUACAAUAAAACACAAACACAAGCCAAAUAAUCCCCCAAAAACCGUGCAAACCCUAUGGAACAAAAAACCCCAAAUUUUGUUCAAAACUCAAUCUUCAUUCUUGUAUCCAAAACACUUUUUGCAUACAUAUCUUUUUCAACUCUUGAUACACAUUUUUCAACAUUUAAAAAACAAAAGAUAAACAUAUUUUGAAUGAACAAAUAAUAUGUCAAACAUAAAAUUAAAAACCCAUAUGCAUAAAAUCCAAAAGGACACAUCAAAUAUAAACCUUUGGCUCUUGAUACCACUUGAAGGGAAAUAAUGAGAUUUAUGUGGGAUUUCUAGUGACUAGCAUGCAUAUACAAUUCAAGAUUUAUAUACAUUAGCAACGGAAGCAUGUUAUCACAUAAUAUCAAAGCUAUAGUCACGCAAAUCCCCUUCAAGAAGCAUAGGUUUAUGUGAGAUGCAUCAAAACAUUUUAUUGAAGAACAAAGUGAAGGUGUAGUUUUAUACCUCUUGAUCUUGACUUGAGACCAAGGAUUGAUCACCUCCAAGCUCUUUGUUCCUGGAACUCCUUGAGCCUAGCCUCCCUCCUUGCUUCCUCCACCUUGCUAGAAUGAGUGCUCCUUGGU